UACGGAGGGAGCUAGCGUUGUUCGGAAUUACUGGGCGUAAAGCGCGCGUAGGCGGCUUAUCAAGUCAGAGGUGAAAGCCCGGGGCGCGACCCCGGAACUGCCUUUGAAACUAGUAGGCUAGAAUCUUGGAGAGGUCAGUGGAAUUCCGAGUGUAGAGGUGAAAUUCGUAGAUAUUCGGAAGAACACCAGUGGCGAAGGCGACUGACUGGACAAGUAUUGACGCUGAGGUGCGAAAGCGUGGGGAGCAAACAGG
rnacentral:rRNA from 1 species